AUUGAACGCUGGCGGCAGGCCUAACACAUGCAAGUCGAGCGGGGGUUUUCGGACCUAGCGGCGGACGGGUGAGUAAUGCGUAGGAAGCUGCCCGAUAGAGGGGGAUACCAGUUGGAAACGACUGUUAAUACCGCAUAAUGUCUACGGACCAAAGUGUGGGACCUUCGGGCCACAUGCUAUCGGAUGCGCCUACGUGGGAU
rnacentral:rRNA from 1 species